GCUGGGACUGCCAUGGGGAUGAUACCUCAACCCUUGGCUGGAGAGUGGGGGAAGGCAGGAUGGCUCAGUGGUCUUGGGCUUGGAUGUCCUGGGCCACUGGUGAUGGCAGAUGAAAGCCUUCUGUUUUCAGCUUGUUUUCCUGCUCUGAGAUGGGUACAGCUCUGCUUACCUUGCUGGUAAAGCACCUUGUGAAUCAGCUUUCACCAGGUGUAAAUCAACACUGUGUUUGUAGGGAUAACAGCAGCCCCAAGUCAGCAAGGACUCUUUGAACAUCUGCUUCUGGUCCUUAGGAUGUGUGCUGGGAGAGAAUCUUCUUUGGGAAAAUGAGAAGUGUCUCACACUGUAACACUUGUGUCUCAUCUCCUUCAGGGUUGUGGCAGCUCCCUUGCCUGGUCUUGGGUUAAUCCAGAACCUGGUGGGGAAGAGCCCAUCGAGGAGGCCUUCACCACACACCUGCUGAUGGCAGCAGCUCAGGUUCCAGCUUCUCCUGCUCCUGGGAGCCCACAUCCUCUGUGGUCACCUGCCUGCACCCUCUGUUAUCUCUCAUGCAUCUUCUAAUGAUGCCUUCCCUGGCCCUGACUCACCUGCUGAUAUGGAGACCCUCCCUGUCUGGCCACAUCCUCUCUCCCCCUACCAACAGAGCCACCAAGAAGGAAGGAGGAUUGGCAGCAAACGGUACUCCAGCACCCAUCAGCCAUGGGGGAGCUUGGAAAAUGUGCAUUUUUGUCAGGACACGGCAAUUUCAAUUUAACAAGAAAUUAUCAAGAAAUGCAGGUAUGCAUGGCAGGACAUGAAAGAUGGACAAGUUCAGUUGCAAGCAUUUAAGAGCAAAGGAAAUUAAGGGUGUGGGACCUGGGGCUGUGGUGGAUUCCUCAUCAUCUGGAGUCUUUAAUCAAGUUGUUUCUCCCUUUAUUUCGGGUGCAUUUAAUAGAGGCUUCUAAAACGUGUGCUGGGGCUUUAGUGAAUCGGUGGGCAUUGUCUGGGGAUUACAGGGUGGGGCUCUGUGGGCAGCAGGAGAGAAGACAUCAGAGGACACCAUCCCUCCUGGCCUUGGCUCAGCAAGCCUGUUCCUGCUCAUCUUGGGAAAGAUCCACCUGCAAACAUCGCCCCGGAAACCCUGGAUAAAUUAUUUGGGUGUGCUUGGAUGCAAAGAGAAGCGCCAAACCUCGUGGCAGCCCUGUCUGUGGCAGGGCUGUGACCACCCUGCGAGGGCACUGUCCCACUGAAGGGACUGGGGAGAAAACACACAUGAAAAAAGAAAAAAAAAAAAAAUCCAUCAAAAAAAGAUACAGAAUCCCAGAAUGGUUAGGGUUAAGAAAGGACCUUAAAGGUCCUCUAGUCCAACCCCCUGCCAUGGGCAGGGCUCCUUUCAUUAGACCAGGUUGCUCCAAACCCUGCCCAACCCAGGGAUUCUGUCUGGACAGACAAGAGUUUUGAGUUUUAAUAGAUUUUAAUCCAUUUGUAUGAAUGAAUGUCUCUUUUUCAAAGAGAGUUUGGACCAUGUGAUCCUUGGGAUCUCUGCAGUCAUGAAUUCUGUGACCCCUCACAGUGCUGGCAAGCCCAAAGACCAGGUAACACAUAUAAUGGCCACAAGCAGCUAAGAUACUUCCAAAAUAUAAAAGGAGGUUUCUGUUUACCAUUUUCAGCAUUAAAUUAUAAUUUCUCUGUGUCUUUGCCUUUUACUGCCUGAUUCCUGUGGGGUCAAAGGUCAUGGCAGAGGUGCUGGUACACCACAUCCACAUAAUAUAUGGGAAUAUAUGAGGAAGAAAUAUAGGAAGGAUCCACAUAAUAGAA
rnacentral:lncRNA from 1 species